CCAGCUGGGAGGGAGCUGACAGAUAAGGAAACUGAGGCCCAGAGUGGUGCUGGAGGUCUCUGAGCCAGGAAGUGGCCCGUCGGGACUGGAAUGCAGGGCCCUGAGCCUGACAGCACUCUCCGGGAAGGGGCUAGAGCCCCGAGGGAUGAGCGAAAUGAUCAUGAUCAUCUUUGUCCCAUGCUUGCAAGUUCUAGAACUGCUACAAAGGAGCAGCCACGAGUGUCCCCCGCUCCCAGACCACUCCAAGCUGCUUCUAGAGGGACUGGACAUCCUGGAGCAGAAACAGGUGAGGAAACUGAAGCUCUGAGAGCAGUAGCUCCCCUGAGCCGUGCAGCUGGAGAGGGCUGCGCCAACAGCAGAGCUGGGGCUCUUUGCAGUCCCAUUUUCCACUGCUUUGGUCAGGGAGUGAGUCCCCUGAUGUCAUCCGAGGAUAUGAGGCAUCGCUAAAUCUGGCCAUCCCCUGAAGCACCCAGCCUCACCGACUUCCUGAAGCGUGGAUGAACGCUGCUGCCACAAAUGUGCUGUGACAACCGCUGACAAGGAGAGUGAGUGAUGUUUGUGCCAUCCUGCUGAGCACGAGGGAGCUGCUUGGGGAAGCCAGGGGCUGGGGCAUCUCAAUAGCACUGAGGGCAGCCUCGGGGGGGCUUCACAGCACACCCACCCCCAGAUCACUGCUGAUUCUGGGGGAUGCAUGACAGAGCUUUCUGACCUUGCACUUCCCUUUGGCUGCUAAACUGAAUGAAG
rnacentral:lncRNA from 1 species